CUUGGAAGCAGCCAUUCAUUUAAAGAGUGCGUAACAGCUCACUAGUCGAGCGAUCCCGCGUGGAUAAUACACGGGCAUAAAACUGUCAACCGAAGCCGUGGGGUUAGCUUUAUUGCUAACCGGUAGGAGAGCAUUCCUGCCAGCUUUGAAGGUCACCCGCGAGAGUGACUGGAGCGGCAUGAAAAGCAAAUGUAGGCAUAAGUAACGAUAAUGGGGGCGAGAACCCCCCACGCCGCAAGACCAAGGUUUCCCCGGCAAUGUCAAUCAGCCGGGGGUCAGCCGGCCUCUAAGGCUCACCCGAAGGGGGAUGCCGACGAGAAACGGGUUAACAUUCCCGUGCUUCUCGUCACCGUGACGCGGUGACGGGGUGAUGAAUGGACCGCGCGCUGACGGAAUAGCGCGUUGAAGGCCGUACCCUUUGAGGGUGGUAGUCAAGCACGCCACCCGAGGCGACAGCCGAUAGUACCUCGAGGCCUCGGCCGAGUGGAUAGCGUCCAGGCAAUUAACCCCCUAGAAAACCCGCUAAACUUCAAGUGACGAGGAACCGUACUGUAAACGGACACACGUGGUCGGGUAGAACAUACCAAGGCGCUCGAGUGAUUCAUGGUCAAGGAACUAGGCAAAAUAGUCCUGUAACUUAGGGAUAAAGGACGCUCUAGUGAUAGAGCCGCAGAGAAAUGGCCCAGGCGACUGUUUACCAAAAACACAUGGCUAUGCCAAAUCGAAAGAUGACGUAUAUGGCCUGACACCUGCCCGGUGCCGGAAGGUUAAGAGGAGAGCUCAUCCGCGAGGAGAAGGUUUGAAUUGAAGCCCCGGUAAACGGCGGCCGUAACUAUAACGGUCCUAAGGUAGCGAAAUUCCUUGUCGGGUAAGUUCCGACCUGCACGAAUGGUGUAACGAUCUGGGCACUGUCUCGACCAUGAGCUCGGUGAAAUUGUAGUUCCGGUGAAGAUGCCGGGUACCCGCGACGGGACGGAAAGACCCCGUGAACCUUUACUGCAGCUUCGCGUUGUUCCCGGGCACGGGACGUGUAGGAUAGGUCGGAGGCUACGAUUCGGUUUCGCCAGGAAUCGAGGAGCCAUCGUUGAAAUACGACCCUUCUCUUGUCUGGGAUCUAACCCUGGUUAUAGGGGACACCGCGUGGUGGGUAGUUUGACUGGGGUGGUCGCCUCCAAAAGCGUAACGGAGGCUUCCAAAGGUACCCUCGGGUUGGUUGGUAAUCAACCUCAGAGUGCAAUGGCACAAGGGUGCUUGACCGGGAGACCAACGAGUCGAUCGGGUGCGAAAGCAGGGCAUAGUGAUCCGGUGAUCCCGCGUGGAAGGGUCAUCGCUCAAAGGAUAAAAGGUACUCCGGGGAUAACAGGCUGAUCGCCCCCAAGAGCUCAUAUCGACGGGGCGGUUUGGCACCUCGAUGUCGGCUCGUCACAUCCUGGGGCUGGAGAAGGUCCCAAG
rnacentral:rRNA from 1 species